GACGAACGCUGGCGGCGUGCUUAACACAUGCAAGUCGAACGGAAAGGCCCUGCUUUUGUGGGGUGCUCGAGUGGCGAACGGGUGAGUAACACGUGAGUAACCUGCCCUUGACUUUGGGAUAACUUCAGGAAACUGGGGCUAAUACCGGAUAGGAGCUCCUGCUGCAUGGUGGGGGUUGGAAAGUUUCGGCGGUUGGGGAUGGACUCGCGGCUUAUCAGCUUGUUGGUGGGGUAGUGGCUUACCAAGGCUUUGACGGGUAGCCGGCCUGAGAGGGUGACCGGCCACAUUGGGACUGAGAUACGGCCCAGACUCCUACGGGAGGCAGCAGUGGGGAAUAUUGCACAAUGGGCGGAAGCCUGAUGCAGCAACGCCGCGUGCGGGAUGACGGGCUGCGGGUUGUAAACCGCUUUCGCCUGUGACGAAGCGUGAGGGACGGUAAUGGGUAAAGAAGCACCGGCUAACUACGUG
rnacentral:rRNA from 1 species